rnacentral:rRNA from 1 species
UACGUAGGGACCGAGCGUUGGCCGGAUUCAUUGGGCGUAAAGAGCUCGUAGGCGGCUGUUCAAGUCGAACGUGAAAACUCGGAGCUCAACUCCGAGCCUGCGUUCGAUACUGGACGGCUAGAGUCUGGUAGGGGGAUCUGGAAUUCCUGGUGUGGCGGUGGAAUGCGCAGAUAUCAGGAGGAACACCGGUGGCGAAGGCAAUCCCCUGGGCCUGCACUGACGCUCAUGCACGAAAGCGUGGGGAGCAAACAGG